rnacentral:tRNA from 1 species
GGUUAGCUCAGUUGGUUUAGAGCGCCUGCCUUACAAGCAGGAGGCCGGGGGUUCGAAUCCCUCACCGCCCA